rnacentral:rRNA from 1 species
UUUUACAAUGGAGAGUUUGAUCCUGGCUCAGGAUGAACGCUAGCUACAGGCUUAACACAUGCAAGUCGAGGGGAAACGACAUUGAAGCUUGCUUCGAUGGGCGUCGACC